rnacentral:lncRNA from 12 species
CUAGUGAAGACACGUAUGUUGCCUUGUCACUGAAAUCUCCAGAGCUGCCUUUCUUUCUUUCCUUCUGAAGUUUUACUUGUUCAGUUCUUCCUGGAAUUCUAUGAUAAAUCCCACUAUCUUUUCAAUACUUUUCUUCUUUAGCUUGAGCUACUCAGAGGUGGUUUCUAUUACUUGCAAAAGAAGCAUAAUGUUUCAGACGUACAGAUAGACAGCUGGAAGGAUUGGUGUGGCCAGAACUGAGUUAAUUGAAACUGAAAAGAAAACAAUAUGCCAAGUUGGGCAUAUGAAGGGACGUUUCUAAAAUACAAGCGAUUAAGGAAAACAAACCAAAGUGGACCUAGUGGCAUGGAUGAUGGAGCACAGAGUCAACUGGGAAUAAUAAGAAGAGCUCCCUUGCCAGGAGAAACCAUAGGAUCCACGCCAAUAUUCAAGAGAAGAUUCCACAGAAUGUGGCCUUGUUCUCUUCCAAACACCCACAGCUUUGUCCUUGUGCAUAAUUUAUGA